UACAGAGGUCCCAAGCUUUGUUCGGAUUCACUGGGCGUAAAGGGUGCGUAGGUGGUGGGGUAAGUCGGAUGUGAAAUCUCCGAGCUCAACUCGGAAACUGCAUUGGAAACUACCCUGCUAGAGGGUCGGAGGGGGGACUGGAAUACUUGGUGUAGCAGUGAAAUGCGUAGAUAUCAAGUGGAACACCAGUGGCGAAGGCAGCUCGCUGGGACGUUACUGACGCUGAGACGCGAAAGCGUGGGGAGCAAACAGG
rnacentral:rRNA from 1 species